GAGGAAAAGGAAACAACAGGGAUUGCCUCAGUAACGGCGAGUGAAGCGGCAAAAGCUCAAAUUUGAAAUCUAGCACCUUCGGUGUUCGAGUUGUAAUUUGAAGAUGGUAACCUUGGGUUUGGCUCUUGUCUAUGUUCCUUGGAACAGGACGUCAUAGAGGGUGAGAAUCCCGUCUGAUGAGAUGCCCAUUCCUAUGUAAGGUGCUAUCGAAGAGUCGAGUUGUUUGGGAAUGCAGCUCUAAGUGGGUGGUAAAUUCCAUCUAAAGCUAAAUAUUGGCGAGAGACCGAUAGCGAACAAGUACAGUGAUGGAAAGAUGAAAAGAACUUUGAAAAGAGAGUGAAAAAGUACGUGAAAUUGUUGAAAGGGAAGGGCAUUAGAUCAGACUUGGUGUUUUACGAUUAUCUUCUCUUCUUGAGUUGUGCACUCGUAUUUCACUGGGCCAGCAUCGAUUCGGAUGGCAAGAUAAUGGCAGUUGAAUGUGGCUUCACUUCGGUGGAGUGUUAUAGCUUCUGCUGAUAUUGCCUGUCUGGAUCGAGGGCUGCGUCUUUGACUAGUGCACUGCCGAA
rnacentral:rRNA from 1 species